rnacentral:rRNA from 1 species
GAUGAACGCUGGCGGCGUGCUUAACACAUGCAAGUCGAACGGAAAGGCCCAAGCUUGCUUGGGUACUCGAGUGGCGAACGGGUGAGUAACACGUGGGUGAUCUGCCCUGCACUUCGGGAUAAGCCUGGGAAACUGGGUCUAAUACCGGAUAGGACCACUUCUUGGAUGUUGUGGUGGAAAGUUUUUUCGGUGUGGGAUGAGCUCGCGGCCUAUCAGCUUGUUGGUGGGGUAAUGGCCUACCAAGGCGUCGACGGGUAGCCGGCCUGAGAGGGUGUACGGCCACAUGGGACUGAGAUACGGCCCAGACUCCUACGGGAGGCAGCAGUGGGGAAUAUUGCACAAUGGGCGCAAGCCUGAUGCAGCGACGCCGCGUGGGGGAUGACGGCCUUCGGGUUGUAAACUCCUUUCGCUAGGGACGAAGCGUUUUGUGACGGUACCUGGAGAAGAAGCACCGGCUAACUACGUG